GACGAACGCUGGCGGCGUGCUUAACACAUGCAAGUCGAACGGAAAGGCCCUGCUUUUGUGGGGUGCUCGAGUGGCGAACGGGUGAGUAACACGUGAGUAACCUGCCCUUGACUUUGGGAUAACUUCAGGAAACUGGGGCUAAUACCGGAUAGGAGCUCCUGCUGCAUGGUGGGGGUUGGAAAGUUUCGGCGGUUGGGGAUGGACUCGCGGCUUAUCAGCUUGUUGGUGGGGUAGUGGCUUACCAAGGCUUUGACGGGUAGCCGGCCUGAGAGGGUGACCGGCCACAUUGGGACUGAGAUACGGCCCAGACUCCUACGGGAGGCAGCAGUGGGGAAUAUUGCACAAUGGGCGGAAGCCUGAUGCAGCAACGCCGCGUGCGGGAUGACGGCCCUCGGGUUGUAAACCGCUUUCGCCUGUGACGAAGCGUGUGUGACGGUAAUGGGUAAAGAAGCACCGGCUAACUACGUG
rnacentral:rRNA from 1 species